ensembl:lncRNA
GAAAGGGUGGACAGCCUGAAUGUCAAGGAGCUGCAGGCGGCAUGCCGGGCGCGGGGCAUGCUGACCCUAGGCGUCACCGAGGACCAGUUGCAGAGGCAGCUGAAGCAGUGGUUGGAUCUGCACCAGCACCAGGAGAUGCCCACACUGCUGCUUGUGCGGUCUCAGGCCAUGAAUCUCCCAGACACUCUCACCUGCUGACCAGCUCAAGUCUACCUCCAGACCUUCCCGGAGAUUGUGGCCAAGGAGCCCCAGGUGAAAGCAUUCGGGUUGCAAGGCGAGCAGGUGUACAAAGCCAAGCUAGAGGCCACGCUGCAGGAGGAGGCCACCAUGUGGCAGAAACACCACGAGAAGGAGCUGCAGUGGGCUGCAGAGGUGUAAGCAGCGAAGGGCGCUGAGCUAGAAAGUGUGGGUGCCACCACUCCCGAUAAGUCUGUGGCCAAGCUGCAGCCGGAGGUGCCUGAUGUGAUCUUGCCCUCUGAGGCCCUGAAGGACACUGCCCCUGUGCUGGAGGGCUUGAAGGAAGAGGAAAUAACUAAGGAGGAAAUCGAUGUGCUGAGCAAUGCGUGCUCCAAGUUGAAGGAGCAGAAGAAGUCGCUGACCAAGGAGGAGGAGGAGCUGGUGCUGCUGACGGAGGACAUCCAGGACCACAGCAAGAUCAAGAAGGAGCUUUCCAAGAUGGGUGAGGACAAGCUCGAGGAGGCAUCGAAAAGCUAUAAGACGCUGACACAGUGGGUGCAGCAGAUGAUCAGGCAGAUCGAUGGGCUCAUCGCCCAGCUGGAGGCGGACCAGCAGGCUGGCAGGCUGGGCGCAGCUGAGACCACGCCCGUGGGGAAGAAUGUCAUCAGUGUCAGAGCUCAUCAGUGCCAUGAAACAAAUCAAGCACAUCCGGAAAACAAGCUGGUCAGCUUGGCCUCUCUAAAUGGACUCAAGCCCUGCAGGACUUUGAACCAACAAUCUUUGUUUGCAUCCCAUUUCCAUCUUUCAGAUGUGACAAAUCCAUCUCUGCCAAUCCUGGUGGUCACCUCCGCCCCAUCGUCCUGCUUUCCUGCACACUGUCUCUGUCCCUCACUGCAUGGUCUCAGAUGGGACACCCAGCCCUGUCUUCAACAAAGGCACAUGAAUGCGGCAACUCCUCAAUGAAAGGCGUCCAUCCAGGACUGGAGCAGCAGUCCAGUAAGUGGAAAGCCUGUACAGCUGGAUCCAACCUGAGCACUGCCUACAGGCAGGAGGAAGAGACGGUGCUGGAGAACUUCCUCCAAAGCAAAACACAGCUUCCCACUCAGCAUCAGAAUGGUUUUGAUCAUUCUUUCCUUCCUCUGUUCCCUGAGAUCCUGCCAAACGGUGACUACCUUCCAGGCUUCCAAGUUUGGGCACUGAAAGUCCCACAUCCCAGGAAAGCGCACAGUCCCAAGCAAACCGGAAUGCUCCAAAUUAAAGUGUUGUUCCAGCCACCUGACUGCUCAGGCUCCCUCCCAAAGGGACAGAGUGAAAAAUGAAAGAAGAAAGACAUUCCAACCUGCCAGGCAGGAAAUUUGCCUCCAGGUGAACGGCUUCAUCUUUACAUCCAACAGACCCUCAGUUCGGAGGGGGCGCAUCCUACAUCCAGAAGGAAAAAGGCU